CUUCACCAUCAUGACCAUUAAACCAAGAAGUGGGCUGCAGGAAGCACCAGUUCUGUUCAGACAUCAGGGAGGGAACACAGGAAUUGAGGAAGGGGAGAUGGAGGGUCUUGAGGUCAGUUCUCAGAAGACAAGAAUAUGAGGAGGUGCUAGGAGGAGCCUUCGGGGUGAUAGCGGUGCAAUGGCAAGGAGAGGAAUGUCCAUCAGCAUCAAGGUUUCUCAGGAGGCAGAGCACAGUGUGCCCUCAUUUCCCCCUGAAGCCCUACAGGACGUUGCCCUGUAGCAAUGCUUCACACAGACCGCUCCUGGACUGGCACUACAGCCCUGCAGAGAGCUUAGCUGGAGAAACACAGCCCUGAUCAGCCUAUCCAUGGCCUCGUGGAUGGAGGCUUAUUUUUCAGGCAAGGUUUCCCUGCCUGUGUGAGAACCAUGGGAUGCCCCGGAUACCAAAAGCCCAAGAGGAGGGGGGUGAGGAUGAAGGCUAAGAUCCAAAACCCAGGAGGACUUUCACCUGCUCCAGCCUGUGCAAGGCUUUGACCACAGGAAUAUGACCGUGGAGGUGACAUUUACAUUUAAACACAGAUAGCUUGUUUGCAGGUAGCUGAAACAAAAUCUCCUGCCACAGCCCUGACCUGUAUCCCCGAACAAAGCAUCCCUUAUUCAGUGGAUAAGCAAAGGGGAACAUCGGUUUUCAGAUUAUCUGCAUCCCAGCGUUCCCUCGGAGGGGGACAUGGCGAUGGAAGGUCUCUGUUCGGUGACCCAACAACAGGGCCUUUAUUGCCAGGCAGGGAUGAAAGGCCCAUCACAGCUGCUGGCUCAGCCCGUCCGUGACAGAGCGUGUUUGCACAAACAAUGCUGAAAUUAAAGCCCCCGAGUUCAAAACCUCAUUGUCUGAAAAGCACUUCAUGAAUCCAUCCCCCUCCUUUUCUAAUAAAAAAGGGGUGCGUUUUCUUCCUGCCGCGACAGAAGGUAGUUCUACAUCAUGCUGGUCCUACAAGUGUUGGUAAAUUGCUUUUUGAUGGGUGAAGCAAAGCGUGUGUGGGGUGCCCAUGGACUGGCUGGUGGUGAGUGAGAGUGGUGGUGAAUGGAGCUCCUUCCAGUUGGUGACUGGUCAUGAGUGGUGUUCCCCAGGGGUCGGUGCUGGGGCCCGUGCUCUUCAGUAUCUCUACUGAUGGCCUGGAUGAGGGCACUGAGUGCACCCUCAGUACGUUUGCAGAUGGAUGACACCAAGCUGGGGAAAGUGUGGGUCUUCCUGGGGUUAGGAAGGCCCUACGGAGGGAUCUGGGCAGGCUGAUCACUGGGCUGAGGCCAAUGGGAUGGAGUUCAAGAAGAUCGAGUGCCGGGUCCUGUGCUUUGGCCACAGCAACCCCAUGCAAUGCUGCAGGUGUGGGAAGCUGUGGGAGGAAAAGGAGCCGGGGCUUAUCUGCCCUAUCAGGAUCUGAAUGUAAGAUAUGGGAAAGACAAAGUCCUCCUUGCAGAACUAGCCAGCUCCUGGGCUCACGGAGAAGAUUCCGAGCAGAGCAGAGGGAUAAGAAUAAGAAUUGGUUUUUCCCAAAGGCAAAAUGAGUCGAAGGUCAGAGCUACCCCACGUGCUGCCCAUCCCUGCCUGGAGCAGCUCAAGAUUUCUGGCCCCAGAUCUUCCAAGGAGAUUUUUACCAGGCAGUUCAUAGUGUCACAUCAAGAGCUGAGACCACCCAGCUCUUCCCGAUGCUCUGUUUGUGGUCUCUCAUCACCAAAGUGCCAUGCUCACAGCCCAGAUGGGUUUACGUCUGUUUUAGAGCCCAGAGGCCAGAGUGAUCUCCCAGAAGAAAUCUAAGCAGGGUGUGAAAUAACAGGAGGAUGCAAAGAGCCUGGACAAAGGAUGUCAUUCUGCAAGCCAAGCUGUAUUGGCAGAGCUCCUGCUACCUCUUCAUGGUCACCAGCAGGGAAAUGGACCCACUUGACUGGCUGCACUGGUUGGGCCAGGAUUAGCUGCAAAAGCUUCUUGUCCCUGGGCUCCCAUGGUGCCGGGGCAGGGCAAAACCCAAAUUAACUUCAGCAAUAAGCAAACAAAUCCCUAACGAUGGAGGAGGGGCAGGGCUGGGUGCACAGCUGGGCAGAGCAAAGAUGACUUCUCAACCUGUGGUCAGAGCAGGGCUGGGUACAGCAUCAUCAGAGCAUCCUGUAUUCCUAAUGCAGGAGCACGGGCUGCACCCUGGCUGUGGGGCGAGACGGUGUCCUAUUAAUUGAUUUUGCCAACCUCAGAAGUUGAAAAGCAUUUUGCCUUCAUCCUCUGGAAUGCAAAACGCAUCCUCUUCCUCUCCAACCACGGUGGGCUCCACGGAGCAGAGAGCUGAUUCGUUUAGUUAAAACAGAUUAAAAUAGCUCGAGGAUCUUCAUGUUCAGUGAGCAAUGCUGGGGACAAGCAGGAGGACGCUGCAGGCACACUCCAUACAUCGUGCCAGUAAGUCCAAACCAUCUCCCCAGCAAGGUUUGGACUCACCCAAAAGACAGUGGAGCCCAUGUAAAAAUCCUCCCUUCAAUCCAGGUUUUUAAAACCCCCAAAGAGCCCAUUUGGACCCAUUUCAUGAGCUGUCUCACAGCAGAGGGUGG
rnacentral:lncRNA from 1 species